AUGUGACAAUCGACACCCACGGGGGCCGUGCGCGUAACCAGGUUACCGCACACCUGUCCGCAGCCUCCCUUUUGUGACUUCUUCCGUCUCAGAAGUGGAGAUGUAUCCGGGGGCGACAAACAGCUGGGAGCCAGGGCUCCAGAAGAUUGAUGGGCGGUGUGUCUAUUGGGCACAGAAAGGACAGACGGGCACACAAAGUGCAC
ensembl:ncRNA C09D8.3 ncRNA